CACGUAGGGCGCAAGCGUUGUCCGGAAUUAUUGGGCGUAAAGAGCUCGUAGGCGGUCUGUUGCGUCCGCUGUGAAAACUCGGGGCUUAACCCCGAGCCUGCAGUGGAUACGGGCAGACUAGAGGUAGGUAGGGGAGAAUGGAAUUCCCGGUGUAGCGGUGAAAUGCGCAGAUAUCGGGAGGAACACCGAUGGCGAAGGCAGCCCCCUGGGCUGACACUGACGCUCAGGCACGAAAGCGUGGGGAGCAAACAGG
rnacentral:rRNA from 1 species